AACGCAGUCCAUUCUGGACCAGAAUAUGUAAAUGCCAUGGGAAACACACAGUAGGACUGUUUGUAGAUCAAGAAAAAUGACCAGCUUCCUUCCAUCUGGCUAAGAUGAGCAAGACCGGAAGCUUGU